GAGAAAUCCCAGCAGGUCUUUCUUUUGGUGACAGGAAAGGUUCAUAACUUUAUGGAAAACAAACUGAUGAAUGCUUUCUGGAAAUUCUUUUAGAGGCCCUUUCCUUCCGUUUUCUGCCCUGGAUGGUGGAGGUGGUAAUACAUAUUCGGCUUUCCUUUCAGGGCUGUAGCAAGAAGAAAUGAGAUAAUGUUUGCAAAGACACUUAAACGUACGUCUGUCAGAGUACUGGACAUCAAGGUGAUAAACAUGCAGAUGAAUUCGGACUGUGCGUGUGGCCCAAAUCCCGGCCAUGUCCCCUGCUGAUGAAGCACAGGAAGAGAAAAGUAAAGGUAAUCUCUGGAUAACCAUGCCCAGAAAGAUAUUUCAAGGGCCAGACUUCUGCUGAAAGAGGCUAU
rnacentral:lncRNA from 1 species